rnacentral:lncRNA from 1 species
UGGUCUCGAUCUCCUGACCUCGUGAUCCACCCACCUCGGCCUCCCAAAGUGCUGGGAUUACAGGCGUGAGCCACCGUGCCUGGCCGGCAAUUUUUUAAAAUCAGUUGGCUUCAUCAAUUGAUUCUUCCUUUUAUGAAAGAUUUCUCUGUAGCAUGUAACGCCAUUUGAUAGCAUUUUAUGCACAGUAGAACUUAUUUCAAAUUGGUGUCAAUCUUCUCAAACCCUGCCACUGCUUUAUCAACUUACUUUGUUAUAUCCUAAAUCUUUUGGUUUUUGUUUGUUUGUUUUGAGACAGAGUCUCGUUCCUUGGCCUCCCAAAGUGCUGGAAUUACAGGCGUGAGCCACCACGCCCGGCCGGAAGUGUAUUUUUUAAAUAAUAAGACUUGAAAGUUGAAUUUACUCCUUGAUCCAUGGGCUGUAGAAUGGACGUUUCUUCCCUUAAACCUCAUGAACCAAGAACCAACCUCUGCUAGCUUCCAACUUUUCUUCUGCAAUUUCCUCACUUCUCUCAUCCUGCAUAGGAUUGAAGAGAGUUGGGGCCUUGCUCUGGAUUCGGCUUUGGCUGAAGGGA